CAGGUUUGAUAAGUUGGUCUACGUGGGAAUCAACGAGGAUCGAGUCUCUCAGCUUCAAGUCCUUCAGGCCAUCCUCAGAAAGUUUCAGUUGGACCCCGCGGUGAACCUGGAGGAGGUGGUGGACAGUUGUCCCGCCCACAUGACCGGCGCUGACCUUUACGCUCUGUGUUCAGACGCCAUGACGGCCGCCAUCAAGAGGAAGAUCUCUCGAAUUGACGAAGGUGUGGACUCGGAGGACUCACCUGUCGUCCUCUCUGCUGACGACUUCUCUGCAUCGUUAGAAAACUUCAAACCAUCGGUUUCUGAACAGGAGCUGCUCCGAUACAAAAACAUCCAACAGAAACUCACUGUGACGUAGAAUCACAGAAAAAACGUUCACAUGAAACUUUGUAAAAUAAUGUACAUCAAUCAAAUGUUUGUAAUUUUCAAGUUAAUUUAUGAAAUCAAUAAAAAUGAGAACAGAUUGAAACUGAAUUGCUGCUA